rnacentral:rRNA from 1 species
AGAACGAACGCUGGCGGCAGGCCUAACACAUGCAAGUCGAACGCCGUAGCAAUACGGAGUGGCAGACGGGUGAGUAACGCGUGGGAACAUACCCCUCGGUUCGGAAUAACUCAGGGAAACUUGAGCUAAUACCGGAUACGUCCGAGGUUUUAAUCGACCUUGGAGAAAGAUUUAUCGCCGGAGGAUUGGCCCGCGUCUGAUUAGCUUGUUGGUGAGGUAAUGGCUCACCAAGGCGACGAUCAGUAGCUGGGUCUGAGAGGAUGAUCAGCCACAUUGGGACUGAGACACGGCCCAAACUCCUACGGGAGGCAGCAGUGGGGAAUAUUGGACAAUGGGCGAAAGCCUGAUCCAGCCAUGCCGCGUGAGUGAUGAAGGCCUUAGGGUUGUAAAGCUCUUUUACCCGGGAAGAUAAUGACGGUACCGGGAGAAUAAGCCCCGGCUAACUUCGUGCCAGCAGCCGC